GACGGAGAGCGAGAAUAAUAGGGUUUUGAUAUCUCUGUACACAUAGGAAUAAACUGAGUUGUGCAAAUUAGCAAUUGAUGAUUUCAAUUCUAAGAAUGAUGAUAAGAUGUAUAUGUUCGAGGAAAUUGUGAACGUAAAUGCAUCAUAUGUCACUACUACUGGGACGUGGUAUUAUUU